CAAUACAGAUUGAUGGCGACCGGCGCACGGGUGAGUAACGCGUAUGCAACUUACCUAUCAGAGGGGGAUAGCCCGGCGAAAGUCGGACUAAUACCGCAUGAAGCAGGGAUCCCGCAUGGGAAUAUUUGCUAAAGAUUCAUCGCUGAUAGAUAGGCAUGCGUUCCAUUAGGCAGUUGGCGGGGUAACGGCCCACCAAGCCGACGAUCGGUAGCCGACCUGAGAGGGUGAUCGGCCACAUUGGGACUGAGACACGGCCCAAACUCC
rnacentral:rRNA from 1 species